rnacentral:rRNA from 1 species
UACAGAGGGGGCAAGCGUUGUUCGGAAUUACUGGGCGUAAAGGGCGCGUAGGCGGCCUUCUAAGUCGAACGUGAAAUCCCCGGGCUCAACCCGGGAACUGCGUCCGAUACUGGAAGGCUUGAAUCCGGGAGAGGGAAGCGGAAUUCCGGGUGUAGCGGUGAAAUGCGUAGAUAUCUGGAGGAACACCGGUGGCGAAGGCGGCAUCCUGGACCGACACUGACACUGAGGAGCGAAAGCCAGGGGAGCAAACGGG